CCCAUACCCUAUAGCAGUCACUCCCAAUUCUCUUCUUCCACCCAUUCCCUGGAAACCACUAAUCUACUUUCCGUCUCUUUGGAUUUAACUACUCAGGACAUUUUAUAUGAUGAAUCCAUUUGGAGAGGAAGCCUCAGGACUUCCAAGGACACGAACUUGUCAGGAUGCUCCCAGAACUGAUCAACAAAAAAGGAAAGAUCAAAAGAAAGAGAGAGAGAAAGAAAAGGAAGGAUGGAAGGAAGGAAGGAAGGAAGGAAAGAAGGAAGGAAGGAAGCAAACUGCGGAGAAACUCACAAUCCAGACAAGACGUCCGCUCAAUUUUGGAUUGUAUCAUUCCAGAAUUUUCCACAACAUACUUAAUUAGCCUCUAAUUUUUUUAAUAAAACAUUUCUAACAUUGUGCUAUUUUAAAC
rnacentral:lncRNA from 1 species